UUGUAUGUUAAAACUGCUAAACUCUAAACAUCUAUGUGCUUUGGUGCCCCGUUUUCUUUGAUUUGGAGUUUAGGAUGAGAGACGUUGAGCUCCAAACUCAGACUAAGAAACUAUAAGAAAUAUGCUUCAAUGAAGAAGCUGUUCAAAAAUGAGUAAGAUUGUUUCCUUGAGGCAAGAAAGAAAUGCAGAAGUCUUGACAAACAAAAGAAGAGAUUGCCUUAGGGAAGGGGACUACAGUGAACACUGAGAACUUCUUCCCACGCUAAGACAAUCUUUACAGAGCAAGACUCCGUCUCAAAAAAAAAAAAAAAAGUGGAGACCUAUUCUGUUGGGUUAGAGAUGACAGAAAAUCUUAUUUGUCGGUUGGUUUGUUUGUUCAAGAAUACACUGACCUUCUACAAGAAAGGAGAGCUCUUUGACACCUGGAAAUUUUACAGAAGCUUGGGACAGCUCUGAAUGGCAACACGGUCCUGAGAUAUGUGAUUACCUGGGACUUUCAUUGGACCUGCAUUUCAGCUCUACUCUCCUCACUGCCCUAUGCUGCUUUGACCCUAAAAGUGAAGCCAGCUUGGCCAGGUGCAGUGACUCACACCUGUAAUCCCAGCACUUUGGGAGGCCGAGGUGGGCAAAUCAAGAAGUCAGGAAAUCGAGACCACCCUGGCCAACAUUGUGAAACACCAUCUCUACUAAAACACAAAAAAAUUAGCCAGGUGUGGUGGCACGCACCUGUAGUCCCAGCUACUCGGGAGGCUGAGGCAGGGGAAUCACUUGAACCCGUGAGGAGGAAAUUGCAGCGAGCCAAGAUCGCGCCACUGCACCCCAGCCUGGGCGACAGAGAGAGACUCCAUCUCAAAAACAAAACAAAACAAAACAAAAAAAACAAAAAGUGAAGCCAACUCAAUUGUCUCAUAGAACUGAUCUUUACGGUGUUUUUAAAUAAACAUAGAAAUUGGCCCUCCCAGUCUUAAAACUUCAAAAACUUACAUUUGUCUUACCUCAGUUCCUUUCUCAGGAAUCCAAUCAUCAAGGCUCCCAGAUAGUAUCAAUGAACGGAAACUUACCAGAUCACGAUAUCUGGACAAUGAGAUGUCAGAUCCCCCUCAUCCAUCCUGAUUACCUAACUGACUACCUGCUUCCUGUUGGCCAACUACUCUUCCUUACCCCUCCCUAAUUCUUGUUUUCCCACAAAUGGUUACAUUUCUGUCCUGCUAUAGAAGCCCUUAAUUUUAAUUGGUCGAGGAGAUGGAUUUGAGACUGAUUUUUUGCUCUCCUUGGCUGUUGCACCUGAAUAGCCUUUUUCCCUGGCAAUACUUUUUGUCUCAGUGAUUGGCUUUCUGUGCAGUGAGCAAUGGGACCAAACUUCUGGUGUUUUGGUAACAAAUUUUGGUUUCCUGACUGUGAAUGCAUUGCUUGUGACUCAGCUGCCAUGAGCUGGGAGAGUUUCAAAAGCCCUCUAAGCAGCUACCUGACCAUUUUGGCCAGAGGUGGAUUUUCGUCUCUCCCCAUUUGGGCCCACUUCUGCCAACCCCAACCAUGUUCCUGAUUGCCUAGGAAGAACAGCCUUUGAAAUUUGACGUCUAUGUACAGAAAGAGUAAAAGACAAGCUUCUGUGGAAAGGGCAACAAACACUAUCACCCUCAGACCAGAGGUGAACAUCCUUUGCAGCAAGGUGAAAGAGAUACAAAACACCCUCUGCCCUUGAAGG
rnacentral:lncRNA from 1 species